rnacentral:rRNA from 1 species
GACGAACGCUGGCGGCGUGCUUAACACAUGCAAGUCGAACGAAGAGCGAUGGAAGCUUGCUUCUAUCACUCUUAGUGGCGAACGGGUGAGUAACGCGUAAUCAACCUGCCCUUCAGAGGGGGACAACAGUUGGAAACGACUGCUAAUACCGCAUACGAUCUAAUCUCGGCAUCGAGGAAAGAUGAAAGGUGGCCUCUAUUUAUAAGCUAUCACUGCAGGAGGGGAUUGCGUCUGAUUAGCUAGUUGGAGGGGUAACGGCCCACCAAGGCGAUGAUCAGUAGCCGGUAUGAGGGGAUGAACGGCCACAUUGGGAAUGAGAAACGGCCCAGACUCCUACGGGAGGCAGCAGUGGGGAAUCUUCCGCAAUGGACGAAAGUCUGACGGAGCAACGCCGCGUGAGUGAUGACGGCCUUCGGGUUGUAAAGCUCUGUUAAUCGGGACGAAAGGCCUUCUUGCGAAAAGUUAGAAGGAUUGACGGUACCGGAAUAGAAAGCCACGGCUAACUACGUG